AUGAACAAAUCUCCCCCUGAAGUCCCAAAUGUUACUUCUGGCCUUGGAAAUCCAAGGGUUUACCACUGUCUGUCCGCCAGUCACUGCAGUCCCUCCUUCCUCAGCAGCGUCGCGAAAGCCUUUGAUCACCAGGCCCAGGCCCAGAGGGGGCCGCACUUCUGGCCGCGUCAGUCCCGCCAGGAGUUUGAGCAGCGUCUCCUGGGGGACCUUGCAGCCUCAGCCCUUCAUGCCGGAGAAGCCCGUCAGCCGCCAGCUGGGGCUGAGGCCCAGCGCCUGGGGCUCGAAGGGCCGGUAGCUCGAGAAGCCCCGGCCCAGAGACAAGCCCGCGGAGCCCGAGCCUUCCGCCGCCGCCGCCACCUCGCCGCCGGCGCCCGUCGCCGCGGCUUCCGCCAUCGCGCCUGCCCCGCAGGGAGGGAAGAGGAGAGAGGAGGGGAGCGCCCUUGUAUCUUCUACUCCAGUUACUACGGACUAACAGAUAUUACCGCAGAGAUUCUCCCCGGCACGACUCGCGCCACCGGACUCACGCCACCCCGCGCGCUCCUGGCCUUCCUGAGGGAGGAGCUGCCGGCCUCCCCCUACUUAUAG
rnacentral:lncRNA from 12 species